AACGAACGCUGGCGGCAUGCCUAACACAUGCAAGUCGAACGAGACCUUCGGGUCUAGUGGCGUACGGGUGCGUAACGCGUGGGAACCUGCCCUUAGGUUCGGAAUAACUCCCCGAAAGGGGUGCUAAUACCGGAUAAUGUCUUCGGACCAAAGAUUUAUCGCCUUUGGAUGGGCCCGCGUUGGAUUAGCGAGUUGGUAGUGUAAAAGCCUACCAAGGCGACGAUCCAUAGCUGGUCUGAGAGGAUGAUCAGCCACACUGGGACUGAGACACGGCCCAGACUCCUACGGGAGGCAGCAGUGGGGAAUAUUGGACAAGGGGCGAAAGCCUGAUCCAGCAAUGCCGCGUGAGUGAUGAAGGCCUUAGGGUUGUAAAGCUCUUUUACCCGGGAUGAUAAUGACAGUACCGGGAGAAUAAGCUCCGGCUAACUCCGUG
rnacentral:rRNA from 1 species